UCGAGAAUCUUCGGCAAUGGACGCAAGUCUGACCGAGCGACGCCGCGUGUGGGAUGAAGGCCUUCGGGUUGUAAACCACUGUCAGAGGGGAUGAAGUAUACGAGAGUUAUCUCUUGUAUUUGACAGAGCCUCAGAGGAAGCACGGGCUAAGUUCGUGCCAGCAGCCGCGGUAAUACGAACUGUGCGAACGUUAUUCGGAAUCACUGGGCUUAAAGGGUGCGUAGGCGGUUAUCUAAGUCAGGUGUGAAAUCUCUCGGCUCAACCGGGAAACUGCGCUUGAAACUGGAUGACUGGAGUGAUGCAGGGGUGUGUGGAACUUCCGGUGGAGCGGUGAAAUGUGUAGAUAUCGGAAGGAACGCCAGCAGCGAAAGCGGCACACUGGGCAUUUUCUGACGCUGAGGCACGAAAGCUAGGGGAGUGAACG
rnacentral:rRNA from 1 species